rnacentral:rRNA from 1 species
UACGUAGGUGGCAAGCGUUGUCCGGAUUUAUUGGGGCGUAAAGGGAGCGCAGGCGGUGACUUAAGUCUGAUGUGAAAGCCCACGGCUCAACCGUGGAAGGUCAUUGGAAACUGGGUCACUUGAAUAUAGAAGAGGAAAGUGGAAUUCCAUGCGUAGCGGUGAAAUGCGUAGAUAUAUGGAGGAACACCAGUGGCGAAGGCGACUUUCUGGUCUAUUAUUGACGCUGAGGCUCGAAAGCAUGGGUAGCAAACAGGAUUAGAUACCCCCGUACGU